rnacentral:rRNA from 1 species
AUCGAUGAAGAACGCAGCGAAAUGCGAUAAGUAGUGUGAAUUGCAGAAUUCAGUGAAUCAUCGAAUCUUUGAACGCACAUUGCGCCCCUUGGUAUUCCAUGGGGCAUGCCUGUUCGAGCGUCAUUUGUACCUUCAAGCUCUGCUUGGUGUUGGGUGUUUGUCUCGCCUCUGCGUGUAGACUCGCCUCAAAACAAUUGGCAGCCGGCGUAUUGAUUUCGGAGCGCAGUACAUCUCGCGCUUUGCACUCAUAACGACGACGUCCAAAAGUACAUUUUUACACUCUUGACCUCGGAUCAGGUAGGGAUACCCGCUGAACUUAAGCAUAUCAAUAAGCGGAGGAAAAGAAACCAACAGGGAUUGCCCUAGUAACGGCGAGUGAAGCGGCAACAGCUCAAAUUUGAAAUCUGGCGUCUUUGGCGUCCGAGUUGUAAUUUGCAGAGGGCGCUUUGGCAUUGGCAGCGGUCCAAGUUCCUUGGAACAGGACGUCACAGAGGGUGAGAAUCCCGUACGUGGUCGCUAGCCUUUACCGUGUAAAGCCCCUUCGACGAGUCGAGUUGUUUGGGAAUGCAGCUCUAAAUGGGAGGUAAAUUUCUUCUAAAGCUAAAUACUGGCCAGAGACCGAUAGCGCACAAGUAGAGUGAUCGAAAGAUGAAAAGCACUUUGGAAAGAGAGUUAAAAAGCACGUGAAAUUGUUGAAAGGGAAGCGCUUGCAGCCAGACUUGCCUGUAGUUGCUCAUCCGGGUUUCUACCCGGUGCACUCUUCUAUAGGCAGGCCAGCAUCAGUUUGGGCGGUUGGAUAAAGGUCUCUGUCAUGUACCUCCUUUCGGGGAGAACUUAUAGGGGAGACGACAUGCAACCAGCCUGGACUGAGGUCCGCGCAUCUGCUAGGAUGCUGGCGUAAUGGCUGUAAGCGGCCCGUCUUGAAACACGG